rnacentral:rRNA from 1 species
ACCCAGACUCCUACGGGAGGCAGCAGUGGGGAAUAUUGCACAAUGGGGGGAACCCUGAUGCAGCGACGCCGCGUGAGUGAAGAAGUAUUUCGGUAUGUAAAGCUCUAUCAGCAGGGAAGAAAAUGACGGUACCUGACUAAGAAGCCCCGGCUAACUACGUGCCAGCAGCCGCGGUAAUACGUAGGGGGCAAGCGUUGUCCGGAAUCAUUGGGCGUAAAGAGUUCGUAGGUGGCACGUUAAGUCUGGUGUUAAAGGCGGAAGCUCAACUUCCGUAGGGCACUGGAUACUGGCGAGCUUGAAUGCGGUAGAGGUAAAGGGAAUUCCUGGUGUAGCGGUGAAAUGCGUAGAUAUCAGGAGGAACAUCGGUGGCGUAAGCGCAUUACUGGGCCGUAAUUGACACUGAGGAACGAAAGCCGGGGUAGCAAAUGGGAUUAGAUACCCUUGUAAA